AGCAGCCGCGGUAAUUCCAGCUCCAAUAGCGUAUAUUAAAGUUGUUGCAGUUAAAAAGCUCGUAGUUGAAUUUCGGGGUUAGUAGGUUGGUCGUGCCACUGGUAUGUACUGGCUCUACUGAUCCCUCCUUCUUGUAGAACCGUAAUGCCAUUAACUUGGUGUUGCGGGGAAACAGGACUGUUACUUUGAAAAAAUUAGAGUGUUUAAAGCAGGCUAACGCUUGAAUACAUUAGCAUGGAAUAAUGAAAUAGGACGCUCGAUCCUAUUUUGUUGGUUUCUAGGAUUGACGUAAUGAUUAAUAGGGAUAGUUGGGGGCAUUAGUAUUCAAUUGUCAGAGGUGAAAUUCUUGGAUUUAUUGAAGACUAACUACUGCGAAAGCAUUUGCCAAGGAUGUUUUCAUUAAUCAAGAACGAAAGUUAGGGGAUCGAAGACGAUCAGAUACCGUCGUAGUCUUAACCAUAAACUAUGCCGACUAGGGAUCGGAUGAUGUUAAUUUUUAUGUACUUCAUUCGGCGCCUUA
rnacentral:rRNA from 1 species